AAAAAUCAUUUCAAAAUCAAACGAAACACGAGUAAAGAGCGGCAAUGUGUGGUGCAGUUUUUCUUAAACCCAAUGGGUUCAUUGUGAAUGGAUUACAUUCAUUAUUAUUUAUAUGUUUAUUAUAAAGCAAAACAAACAAACAACAAAACGAAUAUCAACAACAGCAGCACACACACAACACACACGAGUGUGUGGUGGACAACAACCUAUCGCUGGCAUGUGGACAAAUAAGAAUAGGGGAGAGUUACUCAUAUCGAAGAGCGAACGCAGGAAUGACGAAUGAAAUUAAAAGGAAUACCUAAACCGACGUUGCGCAGCGCGGUGUAAGACACGGUGGCGCCAACAAAAAAUAGGGAGAAAUUUCAACACAUAUUACAUUAAAAAAUAUUACAUAAAGAUAUGCUAUUAAAUAAACAAAAAAAAACAUUACAGAAAAAAACGCUAUUACAUAACUAAAUCGAUUUCGAUCUUUAAAUCGUUUAGCUAGUGAAAAAAAACUAAACAAAAACUAACGCUAAAUUCAACACAGUUAAAAGAAAUGUUUAAAGAGAGUAAAACAAAAUCCUAGAACUAAACAUAAAAUCCCAAAAGUGGGGUAGCAGCAAACGGUUAAGGUAUAUAAAUUUAAAGCCUGUGUGUAAGCAUUUUCGAUCAUCCGGUGAAAUCAAGCCUGCGCGGAAAAAAAAGAUUAGACAGAAAAAAAACCUAUAUACAUUUGAUUAUAUACUAGAUUUACUGAGGAAAGCAAGAGAGAAAAAAAGAAACAGUUAACAUUUGAUAUAUUAUUAUUGUGGAGACAAACUCGGCAAGAGACGCACCGAAUGCAUAGCAAAGAAUGUAAUCUUGUCAGUCAGAAUUGUGAAAAGGUGAAGCAAAAAAA